rnacentral:rRNA from 1 species
AAUCAACGCUGGCGGCGUGCCUCAGACAUGCAAGUCGAACGAUUAAGACUUCCUUCGGGAAGUGUAUAAAGUGGCGCACGGGUGAGUAACACGUAAGUAAUCUACCUUCGAGUGGGGAAUAACAACGGGAAACCGAUGCUAAUACCGCAUACUGCAGCGGCAUCGCAAGAUGACCGUUGUUAAAGGAGCAAUUCGCGUGAAGAGGAGGUUGCGGCAGAUUAGCAAGUGGGUAAGGUAAUGGCUUACCAAGGCUACGAUCUGUAUCCGGUCAAAGAGGACGGUCGGACACACUGACACUGAAUAACGGGUCGGACUCCUACGGGAGGCAGCAGAGGGGAAUUUUGGGCAAUGGGGGAAAGCCUGACCCAGCAACGCCGCGUGAGGGAUGAAGUAUUGCGGGAUGUAAACCUCGAAAGAAUGGGAAGAAUAAAUGACGGUACCAUUUAUAAGCUCCGGCUAACUACGUGCCAGCAGCCGCCGUAAGAC